rnacentral:rRNA from 1 species
CCUACGGGUGGCAGCAGUGAGGAAUAUUGGUCAAUGGACGCAAGUCUGCACCAGCCAUGCCGCGUGCAGGAUGACGGCUCUAUGAGUUGUAAACUGCUUUUGUCCGAGGGUACACGCAGAUACGCGUAUCUGUCCGAAAGUAUCUUACGAAUAAGGAUCGGCUAACUCCGUGCCAGCAGCCGCGGUAAUCCGGAGGAUUCAAGCGUUAUCCGGAUUUAUUGGGUUUAAAGGGUGCGUAGGCGGAAUAUGAAGUCAGCGGUAAAAAUUCGGGGCUCAACCCCGUCGUGACGUUGAAACUGAUGGUCUUGAGUGGGCGAGAAGUAUGCGGAAUGCGUGGUGUAGCGGUGAAAUGCAUAGAUAUCACGCAGAACGCCGAUUGCGAAGGCAGCAUACCGGCGCCCAACUGACGCUGAAGCACGAAAGCGUGGGUAUCGAACAGGAUUAGAUACCCGAGUAGUC